rnacentral:rRNA from 1 species
AUUGAACGCUGGCGGCAUGCCUUACACAUGCAAGUCGAACGGUAACAGGUCUUCGGAUGCUGACGAGUGGCGAACGGGUGAGUAAUACAUCGGAACGUGCCCGAUCGUGGGGGAUAACGCAGCGAAAGCUGUGCUAAUACCGCAUACGAUCUACGGAUGAAAGCGGGGGAUCGCAAGACCUCGCGCGGACGGAGCGGCCGAUGGCAGAUUAGGUAGUUGGUGGGAUAAAAGCUUACCAAGCCGACGAUCUGUAGCUGGUCUGAGAGGACGACCAGCCACACUGGGACUGAGACACGGCCCAGACUCCUACGGGAGGCAGCAGUGGGGAAUUUUGGACAAUGGGCGCAAGCCUGAUCCAGCCAUGCCGCGUGCAGGAUGAAGGCCUCGGUU